GAUGAAGAACGUAGCGAAAUGCGAUAAGUAAUGUGAAUUGCAGAAUUCAGUGAAUCAUCGAGUCUUUGAACGCACAUUGCGCCCCCUGGUAUUCCGGGGGGCAUGCCUGUCCGAGCGUCAUUGCUGCCCUCAAGCACGGCUUGUGUGUUGGGCCCCCGUCCCCGGUUUCCCCCGGGGACGGGCCCGAAAGGCAGCGGCGGCACCGCGUCCGGUCCUCGAGCGUAUGGGGCUUUGUCACCCGCUCUGUAGGCCCGGCCGGCGCCAGCCGACACCCAACUUUAUUUCUAAGGUUGACCUCGGAUCAGGUAGGGAUACCCGCUGAACUUAAGCAUAUCAAUAAGCAGAGGA
rnacentral:misc_RNA from 1 species